GUUCUGGUAGCUCAGGUUUUGGAAUCUCUGGCACUUCAAGUUUCUUUGGUAACGCAGGUUUUGGAAAUUCAGGCAAUUCAGGGACUUUUGGGAGCUCAGGUUUUGGAAUCUCAGGCAAUUCAGGUUUUGUUAGCGGUGGCAAUUCAACUUUAGGUAAUUCAGGCUUCGACAAUGGAGGUAAUUCAACUUUAGGCAAUUCAGGUUUCGGGAAUGGAGAUAACUCAACUUUCGGCAGUUCGGGCUUGGGUAUUUCUGGCAAUGCUACCUCCAGAAGGUGUCGAGCAUCUACUAUAUUAAUAUUGUACCACAUUGACGAGAGGGUAACAAGUAAAAGUGUUAAGAAAAAAGAUGGAAAAGAUUGAUAAGCCAUGGUUUGAUAGCUUUGGGUAAGUAGGGGUUGAAGAUGAGGAUGAGCAAUAGGGUUAUAUAUAUGUCAAUCAAUUGAAAGAACUAGGGCAAGUGUUUUUGUGCAUAGGGUUUCAUGUGAAUGGCCUUUUAUUGAUACAUAUGAGAAAUGGAGAUAAGGUGUUUUCAGUUAACGUUUGGUGCGACAAAAAGAAUGAAGGAAAAAUAGAAAAGCUUAGUCUUGUUAAUUUAGUUCAACUUCUCACCUGCAUUACUUGCAUGGAUAAACAUGGCAAAAAUUUUAUUGCCAACCACUUUCUAGAUAUGCGUGGUUGUAUUUUGUGACUUUCUUGCCUAGAUGUUUUCACAUGGACUUGUAGAAAUUAUAUUCAAAGCCAUAUUCUAAGGGACGGAUACAAACAUUUUAAGAAGAAUAAUAUAUUAGUAUUUGUUUUAUUAUAUUUUGACAGUAUAAUAUAUCAUUUGAUCGAUCAACAAUUAAAUGUGCAAUGGUAUAGUCCAAAUUCUUUGUGAAAACAUAUUUUAUCCAAAGUGAAUCUAUAAAACAAUUCCAUUGUAGACUCUUAAUUGUUUGUGCACGUUUUCUUGUUAUGGUUAUUAAUUAAGCAAGCACUCUCUCUGGCUUGACAUGCACGCAAUCGUUCUUCUGUAACCAGUCCCAAAAUUGAGUACAAGGCUAACCAAAUAUAUAUAAUUAAGACAAAUAAAAAGUAGUCGAAGCAAUCUACCUCAAGCACAUUAUAAUUUAAGGGCUCCUGCAUAAAUAAUUAAUGCACAUAUUUUGAUUUAAAUAUUCUUUUAAUCCUUAUAUUUUCGGAAAAUAUAUCAAAAUAUUUAUGCAGUUAAAUUUAUUACAUUCUUACUCUUACAUUUUCUUUCUUUUUAUAAUAAUAUCCUUGCAGCAAUAUUGUUGACUUUACUUAAUUUAUCUAUAAAAACUUUAAUAAGCAAAUUAACCAAUAAUUAUUUAUGUACAAAUUAACUAAAAUACAUAUCAAUGUGAAAGAAAUAGUAUUUUUUUCACUUGUACAAUAAUCUCACUAAUAAUUUUUUAUCAAUAAAUUAAUAUCCACCAACUUAAUGCAAUUUUUAAUAUCCUGGAAACAAUCUUACUAGUAAUUAUUUAUAAAAAAUUAAUUUACUAAAUUAAGCUCAAAUAUAAAAUAAUAAUAUAAAAGUUUGUAUAAACUUUUAUGUUACUUUUAAAGUUAAUUUGAUAAUUUAUAAUUCUUUUUUUUCAUUAAUAUCCUAAGAAUAUUGUUGCAUAGGUGUUUGGGAAAGAAAUGGAAGGUUAAUAGGAAAAUGCUACUUGUCAAUAGUACUUAAUUAUGGAAAAGUCACCACAAGGAGGUUGGCUUAUAACGAGUAUAGUAAAUAUCACAAUGGCAUUCGACUUUCACCAUAUCAAGGGCAUAAAAGGCUAGAGAAAAUAUCCAAAAUAUUUGGCACGUGAAAUGUCAUUAUCGUUAAAAUGAACAGUGAUUCCUUAGCUAAAAAUGAGGAACUGAUUAGGAGAUAUUUGAUUGAAAAAGAGGGAGCAUCAAAAUAAUGGCUCAUCAAGCUUACAAAAAGCCAAAAAAUGGCUCAUCAAAAUAAUUGGUAUCAUUUGUCCUUAUCUGACACUCAAGCAAUCGCAUAUACCCUCUGCAGAGGCAUACUGUACCACUUAGCAUAUUCCAACACGUGUAUAUGGACAAAUUGUGUAAAUGAUGCUAACUUAUUCUCCAAGCAUGCUCUAUACGUGCAAACUGUCACAAAUGCUAAAGGACAAGAAUAUCCUUGUGCAAAGAGAGGAAAGUGCCAAUGAAAUUACGCAAGUGGCAUGAUGACCGGAAUAUCUCAGGGCACUACAUAUAAAGAUGCUCAGGUUUUCUCUUUCUAACUAAGCAAUUUUAAGCACUAAACAUUAAAAAAAAAAAAGGUGAAGGCUCUUCUUCUACCUUGAGCCAACACCAUUGCGGACUUGACUCUCAAAACAACACCAAACCCUUCCUAGCAACGUCAUUAUUUCCACUCUUUCUCAAGCUUUAUAAAAGGCAAUACAUCUUGAUUACACUAGGCACCACAAUCCUCUCAUUUAUAAAUUUAUUGUGUUUAGUUAGGUUUCUCUCUUUGUUUAAAAUCUUGUUAAAAGAAUUGGUGUCGUCUAGGUGAGGGGCAUACAAAAAGCCUCCACAACAAUUGCCAAACUAUUGUUGAGUGCGUUCACAUAAAGAUGGCACCAGACGUAACCUUUGAUGAUAUGGUGCAAGAUGCAGAGUAUAUCAAUGAUUCAAUAAGGAAAACAACUAGGCUUGACAAGGGCAAGUUGGUAAGUAAUGGGUUCUCGGGUACUAAAGCUGAAAGCCCACAAUUCAAGAAACUCCCCAACAUGAGCUGAAAAACAAAUCAUCCCACGUUUGGAGUUACAUAAUGAGGCAAGCCAAAGAACAGGUCAUCUAGUACCCAAUCCAAGUUUCAACUUAUGGGCUCUAGGGAUGAUCACUGUACAACCUCUAGCCACUUAUACAGUAGCUAAGGCACAAGCGUGCAAAAUGAGCCCACGAGAACCUAUGACAAAUUGGAUGAUAAAAGAUCUUCUGAAAUGAUCGCGACUUCUUUAGGUAUAGUUGGGAUACCCUGCAAGCUCUUGGAAAAAAUGGAAUAUCGUAAAACUCCUCUUUGAGAAGAAUAAUGCCACCGAUGCUCAAUAUUAGUGGUAUACAACUUGCCAUUCUUCAUCUUGGAUAUACGGACAACAACAUUUUCAAAGACAUUCAAUAUGCCUCAGCCUUCGAAACCCCAAUAUUUGGGUACCAAAGAUCUAAACGAGCAUGCUAAGCGAUAUAGGUGCUUAAGAGAACGAUAUGUCUAGGAUGUUUGCACACAUCCUCACCAGCCUUGACAAGUUAUAGUUCAAAUCUUUGAAGGCAAGUAGCAUAUACUCAUUAAACUAGUUGUUAACGAAAUUUUUUCAUAAUUUUAUUAUGUUUUCUUUCAAGAUAAGGCAUCUUCUAAACUUGAUUUCAUUAACCAAGGGGAGUCAAAAUCUUUCGGUAAUUAUCGUUUAUGCUAAUAAGUGUUGCAAAUUGGUGUUCUUGGUCAUGUGUAUACGUUAACUCACUUUGAUAAAAAUUUGCUAGUAGGAAAGUUAUGACCGUCUUUUCAAAAGCAUCGCCUUUUAUUAGAUAGGUAUCUCGCUCGAGACUUUGCAAUAAAUUGAGAAGGGUGAGAAAUGUUAUUAAAAAAAACAGGUAGACAAGGUGGAAGUCAUAAAAAGUAAGGAGAAACCUAAGAAGAUGAGGUAUCUUUACUAAAGGUACCUUAAGUAUGUAGCUCACUACACCCAACCACACACAGUUACGGUUAUAACACCCCUUAGAGCACCCAAGGUACCGCCCUUUGUUAAGUCAUCCAGCCAAAACAAUAAAAACAGCCACAAAUCCAUAGUAUAAAUCUUAUCAUCCAUUAACUUGGUCAUAAAAGCAGAGUUGAGGAUAGUAGUAUACUGGCAUGGCAUCUCGAGUAUAUAUGACAAAAAGUUAUGCCUUAGAUCAUUAAAAAAAAAAAAAAACUAUUUGGCUCUACGAAAGAUGACUUAAAACACUUGGGUACCCUUUGAAGCCUCGGUUGGGCCAAAUUGAGUAGGGUCAUACCAUAUGGAUAAGUCGAUUGGAAAUAGAGUCUGUAGGUUACUUUACAUCGAUAGGACGACAGUGAAGCACCCAUGGAAUGUAGCCAUUCUGGGAAAACAGUACUAGCAUCCGAACUGUGUUCUACCUUCUUCUGUUUAUGUUAUUUAUUUCUUUUGAUAUUUAUAUGUUUGUAACCUGUCAUAGGCCUUGGGGGGACCCAAGGUAUCCCUGCGAUGGUCAGUUGUACUUUUUAAUUUUCUAAGUCUUUGGUAAUAGAAUGGGAGAUCUUAUGAUCACUUCUUCUAAUUAGGUUGACCAAAGCUACGUCAUAUAAUAAUUCAUGCUGUUGUUACCUAUGAAUACAUUUCCUUUCUAGAAUGUAAGACAUGUGCUCUUUUCACUCAUUUUUCAAUUAUGGAAUGUGGAUGAAUGAUUUGAGAUACUGUUCAGUUUACAUACAUUUGCAUUAGUUUAUCUCUAUGUCUAUUGUUAUACAAUGUUUAUUUUGAUGCAAUUUAAUGUGAAGCAAUUACAUUAUUAUAGAGUAAGUUGGGAUACUUGACCUGUCCUAAUCAUGAUGAUCUACUCGAUUUUAGGGCUAGCAAAAAUAAUAUAAAGGAAUAAUAAGCAGCCUUUCGAAGAGACUAUAAAAAAAUAAUUAUUUUAAGGAAGAAAGUGGGUCGAAGGAGAAUCAAAGGCAAAGUAAGCAAUCAUAUACUAACAUCAUAAGGUCUGUUAAGGUAUGCACAUGCCCACACUCUUCGUUCUCUUGCUUGUGAAAAGUAAGAGAUAAACAAUUAAAAAAUAAAUGAGAACCAAAAGAGCUGGAAGUAUAUAAUAAAAGAGCUGCAAAUAACCAUCCUUAAUGCUAUUUACUCUUUUUAUUUAAUUUAAAACAAGUAGCAAAACAAGAUAUUUUUACCCAUUUGAAAAGGGCUAAAAGGGUCCCAAAAAAAGCUCAAGAAGAGCAACAAAUGAAUCUAUUCACCAUAAUUAUUACGCCAAUUGUGAAUUCUCAUGCUUAAUCAAAUUAUCAUGAUGAUACUUUGGUUAUUGAUUGGUGUGUUGAAAUUCACUAUGAUUUCUUAAAGAUAAACAGCAAGCAUGCCUUAAUAAAUUGCCAUGUGUAUGAUGUAAUUAAGUUGUUUGAUCUUCAAAGAAGCAGCAGCUCAAUAGAUGUAUAAGCUAAUGUAGACCUUUGGUAUCUGGUGUUAUGGGAAUAUCUUCCAAGUACAUUAAAGAUACUCGAAAGAUCCCCAAAAUACCUACUUAGCCAAACAUCCAUACUCAAAGCUAAAGACGAUAUAACCAACUAGAUGUCAAAUUAAACUUAUUAUUAAAGUCAAAUACAAAUGAAAACAAGAAUGUUGGGACAACUUUGCAUAAAAAGAUAAGUCAGGUGCACCAAAUGGAAAAGCAUAGCAUGAAUGUAGACUACGAGUUUCAUAUACAAUUAAAAGAGUGUUAGCAGAUGAAAAGUUAUGCAAAACACAGUUGCACAACAGACAAAUCAUCUUCUUCACCAUUUUUUUAGAUGGGGGGAUCAGCAAAGGUUGUAGAGGUGGCAUAGGCGUGAGCUUUAGUAGCAGAAACAUUUAAUGGGAGCUUUAGUUGGGGUAUACCAUAUACACCAGGUGACCUCUGUGGACUGCUGGAUUGGGAUGUACAGGACCCUUAAUGACCUCGAUUGUUGCUAUGAUAAUUGAUUUGUCUACUAUCCUAAGCACUGUUAGCACCGGAUCUGUACCCUAUACUUCGACCAUUAUGCGUUUCUUUUACCUAGACAAUAUACCUUCAUACUUGGUCUGCAGCAUUUCAAGAUCUUUAGUCACCUAAGUUUGCUCCUCAAACAGUUCAUCGAGGCAUCCCUUCAAGGCUUUAUUUUCCUAAGCAGGCUUCUCUUCAUACAACUUGUGGUUUUGGAUUUUACCUUACAACUUUACCACGAUCGCUUGAGCAUUGGGGGCAGCUAUGGAAUCUUGGAAGAUAUGACUCAAGAAAAAAAGUUAUCUACAACCAACAAGAUAGAGCUAGAAUUACAAAUCCAUUCAUAUUUUAAUAGGCUUUGAGACUUGACUAUAGCGUUCGCUCAAGUCUAACCUAUCCGUCCUUACUGCAGUCACUUUAGGGUAUGUUCUUAAUGGUGUAGUGCAUAAACCUAGCCAAGGGCAAGACAUUUUUAUUUGCCACUAGAUCCAGUUCUCCUUUAGCAAAAUCCCUAGGAAGAGAGUAGAAGGACCUUAAUUUUUUUUUUUUGGGUGAAGUUGUUAAAGGAGGCACCCUGUCACGUAGUUGUUACUCCAGGAAAGUGAGGAGAUAAGGUGCCCCUGAAGCUGCUGGGGAAGAUGCCUUUUGAUUUAGUUCUUACUCUCUAGUUAUUACUCUACAAUAGUGAAGAGUCGGGUACCCUUAGCGAGAGGAGUGGUACCCAAACCAUCAGAUGAGCGACCCCUCAUUUAAUUUUUAAAAAAGGUCAAAAUCCUCAGUAAAUGGGCUCACAUCUGCUAAACAUCAUGCACCCAAAUAAGAAAAGGUCAGCUAAGCAAACACUGAAGUCCUAUAAACAGAAACAAAAAAAGAAGAGUAAGAAACACAUAAAUUAUAAAUACAAAGCACGAGAGACAACGAGGUAAAUAAAACACUUUGCACUCAAAGUGACUUAUCUUCAAAGGCAGACAAAGAGCUCUCAUCGAUCAACCUAGGUUUUCUAAUCUUUCCUCACUCAAGACGUCACUCUAUUUUUGUAAAACCAAAAUCCACUCUUCAUAAGCACUCACUUCUUUGCCCACCUCCUGAAUAAGACUUUUUUUCCUUGAUCCAUGUAACAUCUACAAGGUCACAAGGAGCCAUGGAUUGGAGGAACACUCUAAAUAAGUAAUCCAGGACAAAAGAGAAAGAAAAGAAAGGAAGGACAUUCUGUCUUCAUUGAAUGAGCUUUUGCCCUCACAUUCUUGCCAUCAGAUAGUGUAUCCCACUCCCACUUAUUAUCGGCCACAAACCAACAAUGUUUAUACCCUUUUUUAAGGUAGGUCCAUUUCCACUAGGUUACUGUGGGUGGCCCAAGUAGAAAAAUAAGUUGCGGAUAUUGGACUUCUUCAGUUGAUAAAGCCCUCUAAACUCUCAAAGAAAAAUAUCUCUCUCAGACAGUUCUAGUCAUAACAUCUGAAGGACAGUAAGAACUUUCCAUCCAAGUAAGAAUAAUUGUCCUAAGACAAUGCAGAAGUGGCUAAACAUUGUUCUGAGAAAGUGACUGGAGGGGUAGGCGAAGUCCUAGGCAAAAAAGUUAAUAUGGAGAAUUAUCUCAUCUAUCUUAAGGAAAUAUAAGGUUAAUAUAAAGAGUUAUCUCAUUUAUCCUAGGGAAAUCUAAGGUUUCAUUCUUAUUGGGCACCCUAAGAUUGAUAGAAGAAAGGAUGUUGCACUUGGUCUUAAUACGUUGUAGAUCUUACGGGGUAGCCCUCUUACCACUUAAAGAGUGAGAUUUGUUAGAUUUAGAAGCAGAGAGAGAAGGAAAUUUAAGGAUAUGGAUUGGGAUCUAUGUUUUGGCAUUCACUUUGGAUUGACUAAUAAGGAGUUUACCUUUAGACUUAGCCCUUUGAGAAUGAGAAACCAUAUGAGAAACCCGAAGACUACUAUAACCUACACCUAUACCAAAGGAGGACUCAAGGUCAUGACUAUUACUCUCUGAACUACUCGAGGAAGACCCCUCAUCCUCAAUAACCUCUAUAUAAGGGUAAGAGGGCUACCCCGUAAGAUCUACAACGUAUUAAGACCAAGUGCAACAUCCUUUCUUCUAUCAAUCUUAGGGUGCCAUUAUAGCCAAGCAUAUACACAUGAGAUAAAAAAAGAGUAAAGAAUAUACCUGAGAUUCUUUAAAAAGUAAGAUCCAAGUGCCAAAAUCCCAAUUUAAAAGUAAUUGACAAUAGUUGCCACAAAAAAGAGGAAAUAAAAUCACUAAAGAAACUAAAAAAAAAAGCGUGUGAAACGGAAAAAGAAAUGAAUAAAAUAGAUAAAGGAGCUACACAAACCUGACAGACACCAAGAAGAGGAACUGAGAUCGCUACAAAAAAGCACUAGAAUUGAGAAAAUUUUGAAGAUUUCAAUAGAGAAAAAAAAUAGAUAUAGUGAGAAAGGGACAAGUAAUUAAAAGUAGGGAUUAUGCAGUCGGGUUAGAGGAAAGUAAGAACUACCACAAUACCACCUAUCUUAAGCAAAAAGAAGAGAAAUGGGGAAUGUAUAUUAGUAGUUGAAGAAACCCGGCUUAUUUCAAAAUUUAGAAAAAAGAAAGAGAAGUCGAAGCAGAUACAUACUUGAUAGUUGAGAAGCGUGUUCUAUUUUAAAAUUUAAAAUGGAAGAGAAAAAAAAAGAUUGAAUGGUUAUCCUACUUCCCCUCAUUCCAAAGAACUUGGCCUCACAAAGAAUGUUGUUAAAAAAAAAAAACGAGAAAGAGAGAAGAAAAAAUGAAGGAGACAUGUGCCAAAAGAUAACCUAUGUGUGCAUACCCCAAGGCCUAUUGCUUACGAAUCUAAGACAGUUACUACUUACAACAUAGAGACAAUUUCCCAAGCAUAGGAACUCGUGCAACUAACUUAAAAAGAGGGAAGUAAGAUACCCCCUCCCUAAUUAGCCAUCAAUGAAGGACCGUUAGAUAUGGCCACAUGUCAUUUACUUUUGCCAUAAAAUCCAGCGAAUCUUGUUUAGGAAAGAAAUAGAAGGCUAAUAGGAAAAUGCCACAUGUCAAUAAUACUUAACAAUGGAAAAGUCACUGAGAGGAGAUUAAAAUUGUAUGCAGAUUUCAACAUAUGAAGGAAGGAAAAAGCUAUAGAAAAUAUCCAAAAUGUCUAGUAUGUGAAGUGAUAUUAUGACAAAAAAGAAUAUUGAUUCCUCCGCUGAAAAUAUGGAAUCAAUAAAGAGAUAUAUUUUGUAAAAGAGAGUACAGCAAGCUGUCAUGCAUACAAAAAGCCAAAAAAAAAAAAAAACUCACCAAAACAGUUAAGAUCAUUUGUCCUCAUCUCACACACUAAUAAUUUAGAAUAGCCUUUACAAAGGUAUGUUGGACCAUCUAAUAGAUUUGAACACAUGUAUUUGUGGAUAAGUUACGUAUAUGAUGAGCCAAUUUAUUCUCUAAGCAUGCUUCAUAGGUCGAAAUUGUCACGAGUACCAAAGGACAAGUAUAUCAUUAUACAGAAAGAGAAAGUGCUAAUGAAAUUGCGCCAAGUGCCAUGGUGGUAUGAAUACCCUAGGGCAUUAUAUAUAAAGACGCCUAGAUUUUCUCUUUCUAACUAAGCUAUUUUAAGGACUAUAAAAAAAAAGGCCAAGACUUUUCUUCUAUGUUCUUCCAAUGCCCUUAUUGAGAGCUGACUCUCAAAAUAACCCCAAAACUAAUUUGAGCUUUGGAGUGUGAUUGCUAGCCACUGAUGGCUCACCUUUAACCUCUUUUCUCUAUUUUUUGCAUGAUAAACUUAGCUCCUAACAUCGUUUCUCACUAGAUCCAACCCUUCUUAGCAGCCUUAUUAUUUUCACUCUUUCUCAAGCAUCACAGAAGACAACACAACUCGAUUACACUAAGCACCACAAUCCCCUGAUUUACAAAUUUAUUGUGUUUAGCUAAACUUCUCUCUUUAUCUAAAAUCUAGUUAGAACAAUUUGUGCCAUCUGGGUUGGGAGUGUAUAAAAAGCCUCCACAGUAGUUACCAAACAAAUCAUUGAGUGUGUUCACAUAAUGAUGGCGCCAGACAUACCCUCCAAUAAUAUGGUGCAAGAUGCGGAGAGAAUAGAAAACCAAAAUAGUGAGUACAUCAAUGAUUCAACGAAGAGAACAACUAGGCUUGACAAUAACAAGUUGGUUAAUUAGUCUAUCAUUAUUUGCAAAAGUGAAAAGCUCUUUGAUCAUGAUGAACAAAUUUUAAUGUUGGUAUUUUCAUAGCAAGGUAAUGUAUAGAAAUAGCUGCUUUAGUAGUUACCAUUAAUGAUCGGCCCAAAAUAAUGUUGUAAACUUUGGGUUAUCUGAUCCAAUGCAUCUUUGAAGAUAAUAUCCACCGAACUUCUAGAAUUGAUUAACGUUCGAGAUACUUGUCUGUUAUAAUUUUGAAUGUGAUCACCAGGGCAUUAUCAUGUGGAUAAACCAGAUUCUCUACAUAUUAUUUGAUGAAUAUGAUUGGAGUUAAGUGGGGAGUUAUGAGAGGUAAACUUCAAUUGACCAUGUUAACCUCUUUACUAUUGACAAUUCUCCUCCUGUAGGUUUUGAUUAAUCUUUUGGAACCACUGGUAAGAGUAAGACCUCCUGUUAUUAUACCCACAUAAGUACACUUCUUAGAACCGCAAGGCUUUCCUUCUUUAGCAUUCCCCCUUCAAAGUUCUUUCCUUUUUUUCCUUUUCUAUGGAUUUUUUGUCAUCUCUCAUUCUAACAACAAACUCGUUUAAAUACUUAUUAAUAAUCAACACCUCUAUUUCUUCUUGCAAUUGAAAAUACUUUACGGUUCGAUGAUGGAAGUCUUCAUAGAGCCUACAAUACUUAAAGCUUCUCAUCAUGUUAGGUUAUUUUUUUAUCGAUCGAGGUGGCCUUAAGAGACCACUAUCGCGGGUGUGGAAAAAAAUCUACUCUGGGGAUUUUUUCAAAGGAUGAUAGGAGACAUCAUGACUUUUCUUGUGGCUUUUCUCUCUCACGGUGUUCUAUGAGGGAUUCUUGGAACAUAUUGGUGGUACAUUGCCCUCGUAAUUGUUGGGUUAGCGUAAUUGAAGUGCCUCGAUGAAGUGUGCCUUUGGCUUCAUCGGGGAAUCCUCACUCUUUAUUGUGUCAAGUUUAUCCUACUGGAGUUUAAACUGACACUUAUCUUUGUACUCAAUCUAUUGUAAAUCCUUUGUCCUAGCCUUCCUAUAUAUUAGCGAUUCAACUUUUCGAGGGGGCCUCCAUAGCUUCUCUUGUUGUAGGUUCUUGUUGAAAAAUUCAAUACAUAAUUCAAAUACAUGUAUUCAAAAUUGGCGAAUGCAUCAAUUGACCAACUUGCAUACUCAUGCAUGCAUUCAACAUUGGAGAGGGAAAUUUGAAGACAAAUUACUAAGGUAGGCACCUAAUUUUUGUUGACAAAAUUAUUGGGGUUGGUGCAAUAAUGCAUCCUAUUUUUCUUAUAAACAGAAGGUAAUUCUUCAUUUGUUUGAGCAUCCAAAUUUGUGAGAUCAAAGCUCAUUCCAAGUGAGUUUUGGUAGAGAAUUUCCUUAGGUACUAAGGGAAUUUGGGUGUAUUGGGUAUUGAAUUUUUUAGAGUUUUUCAACUUUUGUAAAGUCCCAUUAUUAGUAAAAUUAUUUUCCAGUUUUUGCCCGUAAAUGUAGGCUUUAGGCCGAACCAUGUAAAAUUAUUGUGUCUUUUUUUAUUUUUACAUUUGUUUACAUCAUAUUUAUAUUUCUCUAAAAAUUGCAGUCACCGUAAUAUCAGUAAUUACUCAACCCGCACUUCCGCAACAGUUCUUUGUAAAAUGGGCUAGCAUCGUCUCAUGAUCUAAGGCUCCAGUAUGGAGAACCUUUUGGUGAAAACAGUUAAACAAAAUAUUGGUAACAUCGUCUCCCCUUACUUGAUAAAAGCUAGCUUAUAAGAGGACUUAUCUUGGUGACAGGCAUAGCUGAACUCUUGAAUGAAUUUAGAGAGCAGUUGUUGUAUGUUAGCUAUACUCCCUAGCUUUAGAGAUUGAAACCAAGACUUGGCUGGCCCAUGAGGAUAUGGGUGAACAUGCGGCACACAACUUUUUUCCCAACUCUUUUUAUAAGCAACUACUCCCAAUAUAACUCAGCAUGCUCGGUGGGGUCAAAGAUACACCCAUAUUAUGGAAUCUGAGAUAUUUUGAAGUCGGUUAGGAGAGCUGCUUGGCGAAUUUCCUUCGUGAAUGACACUAACAAACGAUCAGCGCUUGAUCCUUAGCGAUGGAGAUUUCUUUCUCGGUCAGUUUUCAAACUUGUUCCUCUAGAAUAGAAAUCUUGUCAAGAAUUUCUUUAGGUAUCUUAUGAUUUCUGGAGAAACCCUUCCCAUUCUAAGGAGAUCUCUUAGCAUUGAGCUUCUCUCGUAAAUGUUCGAUCGACUGUUUGCCACAUUUUCGGCCCCCUUACUGACACUAGAUUGACUAUUAGCAAUAAAUCUUUUAUCCUUAGAGCAAACGGGCUGUGCUUUUGAUCUAUUCGUGGCGAAGUUGAGCUGUUUGCUGCUUCGGGGACCUCUUGUUGUUGGACAUCAACCUUUUCGCCAUGAGCUUGUGCGGAGGCUUAUUUGCUUAGACCACUGUCCAGAUAUUGAGUCUACAAGCCAAUAGCACCUUCAUUUCUUGGUUUGAAAUCAAAUAUGCGAUUUUAAACCUUUCUUUUUCUUUUUUUUUUUUUAAUGUAAAAACAGAUAAGUUUACCGGUUCAAUUGGUCUUGGAUCCAACCAAAAAGAAAUCACUUGCUUUAAAAUAUUUUAAACUAUUGUAUGUUUCGACUUUUGGACCGAUUUGGCCACUGUUUACCAUUUUGAAACUAGCCUUUUUCGUUUUUCAAAUAUAGAAAAAGCAAAAAACUUAAUAUGAUUUGUUUUUAGUAGUGUAUGAAAUCUGUUCCGAAUAAAUAGUUUUCAUUUCUUAUUCCUUCUUCCUAAAAGUGGGAAACAAAAAAAUGGUUAGUAUUAUUUUUCAAAAGGUAUUUGUGCAUCUUUUUUCUUAUAUAAAACAAAUAAACAAAAUUUAAAAUAGUAAAAAUAAAUUUGCUCAUGUAAAGUAACAAAAGACGUAAAACAGGAUGAUUAGGUGAAAUUUUAAAAAAAAUUAAAACAAAGACAAAUGCAUCUAGAUUAAGGUGAUAGACUCGUUAAAUUUUGUAUUUAAUUAUUGCUAAAAUGUUAAAAAGUAAAUGCUGGACUUGUUUACUAAGUACUAUAAACAUAAAACAUAAAUUUUAUGUCUUUAUAUUUUCUUUCAUGAAGUUAAAGGACGAAGUUGUACUUGUUCUCAAAACAAAACAAAAAUGCUACACUAAGUAGCUCUUACCAAACCUUUUUUUCCUGUUUUUUAAAACGAAAAAUCAUGAGUGCAAAAUGAUACUAAAUGGGCAAAGCUACAAUGCCGGGCCUCAAUGCCCGGCAUUAUGCUGGCUUGUAAAUGCAGCCAUUGGAUUCAAGUAAAAUGAAUCCAACAGCUGAGAUUGAAAAGAAAUUAAAAAAGAGAAAAAUGGUUAACCUGUUAAACCGGUUCCCAAAGGUUGUAAAAGUAAACUUUGCUCUUUCACGGUUUCACCCACGCCAUUCCCAAUCUCAGGCACCUCUCUUUGAAAUCACAAAUUUCUCUCUAAUUUCUCUCUUCGAUUUGUUUAGUAAUCACGCAAGAUCGAAGACUCCAUCUCGUUCAAAGCAAAUAACAAGUGGAAUCCAUCAAGCAGUCACUGUCAUCCUGAGGGGUUGAAGUUGAACACAAUUUCCUCUCUUUCUUUUUCAUUUUCGAGUUAACGGCAAAGUGAGGAGGUAAUUUUGACCUUUGUGGUUUUUGUGAUGUACUAUAAAUGUUGUGUGAAAUAAUUAGAGAUUUGAAACAAUUAGAAGUUUGGUAAUUUUGAGUGAAAAAAGAUAUUUAGAUGAUGAAAAAUUGAUGUUGAAGAGAUGAUUAAUGGCUUGGAAGCAUGAAAUUGGCAAGAAAACCCUCAAACACAAUUUUUUUUUUCUAUUUUUUGGUUGAUUUUUUGAGGUUUGGUUUUUAAGUGUUAUUUUUCUAUAUGCCUUGGAAGCAUGAAAUUGGCAAGAAAACCCUCAAACACAAUUUUUUUUUUCUAUUAGAAGAAGGAAAUUAUUUUUUUAUUUUAUAUUUUCAUUUUUUUAGCUGCUGUACCGUACAUCCGCCUUGGCCGUACAGCAGGGUGUUGUUUGCUUGUUUUGAGCUCUACACUCUUUGCUAGGAAUACUAAAGAUGGGUGCUCAAUAAUUUGGUAAGAACUUACCCAUUAUUAUGGGUCCGGCCUUGAUACUACAUUUAUGUGUGGUCUAUUUUAAGAUUUGAACCAUAGCAUACAAUUAUAAAAUAGAGUACACAUAAGCUAGAAGGGGAGGACCUGGUUAGAGAGCAUGGAUACACUUUUUGUAAGUAUAAAAUCAUUGCUUUGAAUAAAGUUCUUAUUAUAACUAUCAUUUGUUGACGUAAUUAGUUGAACUAAAAUGUUGUGUACAGUAAGCAUGAAGCAGAAAAGGCCAGGCAAGAAGGGAUAAAAAAAGUUUUUACGGCGACAAUUAUUGAAAAAUGGAAGAAAUUAACGAAUGAGGAGAAGUGUCGAUUUGGUACGAUGCAUGAGGAUCCAAGUUCAAAUGUUGGUGAAAGGAGCGUAAAAAAAACAGAUGAAGAACAAAAAAUUGAGGACAAGCAUAGCCAAUGUAAUUUAUCUCGUUGUCGUGUCAACGCAUUCACUAAGGUUAUUUCCACACUGUCGCCUGACCAACAAGCUGUAAUUAGAGAAAUUGGGUUCGGAAGCAUGCUACAAUUACGAUGUGGUCGCCUGAGACAAGACUUCUGUGAAACACUUGUCUAACACUGUGAUACAAAGAGGCAUUGUAUAGUUUUGCACGGGAGAGAGUUUUGUUUAAACCCUACAACCUUCAGCAUUGUAAUGUGGAUCAAAGAUGGAGGGGAACCCGUAUACAUCUAAGACGAAGCGGGUGAUAUAAUUGAAUUGCAUGCCAAGUAUAGAACGGGUGGAAGAAGAAUUGAAAUAGCCGCAGUUAGUGAAAGAUUGAUAGCUAGUGAGAGUAGUGAUGAUGACUUUAAGAUCAUGUUUUGUUUGUUUCUUCUAGGAACUGUAUUGUGUCCCACAAGUGCGAACUACAUCAAUCUGAUGUAUCUGCAUGCCCUAAAAGAUGUGCAGUUAAUCAGGAAAACGAAUUGGGCUACAUGGUGCUUCAACUUUCUAUGGGAGGGUAUAACGAAGUAUAAAGAUCAUCAAGUGAAGUAAGUUAGUGGUUGUGUUGUGUUUUUAGAGGUAUAUUUAAGAAAUCUUAGAUGCCAUAAUUAAUGCCAAAUAUGAAAAAUAAAAUGACGUAGUCAUUGGUUUUUAAAUGAACAAUUGUUUUACUUUAGUGCUGUUUUGUAUGAUCGGUGCUCCAUGGAUAGAACAGUAUGUCCUGUUAGUGUAUGGACCAAGGAAGAGAUUCAACGCUUAUUGAAUUAGCGGAAAAAGUUUGGGGACAUGACAAGUACUGAGGUUUGUUUUAUUUUUUGUCUUGUUCACACAUGUAUUUAAUUUUGUUUAUGGUAAAUUGAAUAUAUUUUGAUUGUCAUUAUGUAUGAUUGUUGUGCAUAUUUAUUUUAGGUUCCAAUGCGUGAAUCAAAUUUUAUGCAGCUUGAAAGAAAUUUCCCUCAUUUUGAACAAACCGAAGAUGCUGGGAUGAGCACUGUUAAUAUGGAGGAAGCUUUUAGGGUGCUAACACAGUGUGUCCAGAGAAUUGAACACAAAAUGGAUUCGUUCAAUGUGAGAAUGGAAAUGGUUGAGAAGUCUUUGGCGGAAUUGAGAUCCAAGUCUCCGGUUGGUGCACCAUCAAAACAACCAUAUGAUCUAUCCCUGCCAUCACCGAGCUUGAAAAUAGUAGAACCCACAUGUCCAGUCGGAAAAACCGAGCCAACCACUGAUGGAAAAAACAAAAUGGCAAUAGAUAGCGACGAGGACUAUGUGGAUCACAGAUUGAACCUGAGCCUCGGUAAAAUAAUGGGCUGGAUUGGGACAAGAGAAGGAAUCGGUGAAUUUCACAAAGAUCCUACCCACUUUGUUGCAGGUUAUUUCCUUAUUCCACCAUCUAAUCUCCGAGAUGAGGUACAGUUUUAUAACGUCGUUUUCUAAAAAUUGUUUCGGUGAUAACUCACUUAUGAAGUAACUUACAUAUAAAUUUAUUUUUUAUAAAGGAUAUAGACGAACCAGUUGAACUUAGGUAAGAACCUCAAACAUCUACUAGUGUCAGUGUCCUACCAACGCGACCAAGUAGGAAUCGUAGGCCAGGUCAAUAUCAACUUUAACCGUACGAUCAAGUGUCGAGGGGAGCAAAUCCCAAGUAUAAAGCUGGUCCAUUUCAAGUCGAUGAUCCAGUUACGCUCGAAGAAUUGAAGCUUAUUCAAUAUGCUUUUAACAAAGAGGCUGACGGAAGGUAAAAUUCAGAAGACUGAAAUUAGUUUUCUGUAUGUGGUUGUUAUGCUAUACGACUAAAAAAUGACUGUGUUUUCUCUUUAGUGAAAUCAUUGUUUCUAGUUACGGUAAAAUUCUUAAUCGGCAUUCUUUAUUGACUCUUUUACCCGAGGCUUAUCUAUGUGGAGAGGUAUUAGGUUUCAACAUUUGGUGAUGUCACAUUAUAUGUUUGUCCUUUAUUAUAUGUUAUUAUAUAUCUCAAUCAAUAUAAUCACUUUUAGGUGAUUUUUAUGAAAGUGUAUCACCUCACCCUCAUUCAGCAGGUGGUGGAGAAAGAUAUGGCAAUGAACUGGUAUUUACCAACAAGAUAUUCUGUGAGUCUCGCCGGUGCUUUUUACAUUGUGUUUUGGUUUCUUUAUUGAAAACUUCCUUAUGCAACAUUGUCUUUAUUAUGUGUAGCAAGAAGUUCUAAUGGUCGGAGAUGAGGUGGAUUUUUUUGCAAGGGCAGCUAGAUGUGGAAAGAAUUAUAUGCAACAUGUGCAUAGGUGUCAAAAGGUUAGUUUCUUAACCUUUUACUUAUUUCAGUUUAUACUAGUGUGCUUAGUGUAUGACAUUGACAAUUGAAAUGUUAGAUUUAUGUGCCAAUAAAUGAUGAAUCAUCUCAUUGGUACCUACUGAUCGUGAACGUCAGAAAUACAGUGCAGAAAUAUGGGAUCCUCUUUCAGAUCCCCGCAGUAAUAGAAGACGACACGAUCAAGCCAUGCACAUUGUAUUUUAAUCAUGUUCUUUUUUUAGUGAUCUAUUUAACAUUAUCAGUUAUGUAUAUUGUGUUAUAUUUACAUCCAUAAUAUUGUCCGAUUUUCAACAUUGUUGACAACUAUAUUCCUUGGAUUGGAUUCUGCAGCCCCAAUUACCAAGCAAAUGCAACACUUUAAGUUCCAAGACUUUCUAAUCAACCGGGGCAUUGGAGUUCCAAAGCAAAAGAAUGGAUAUGAUUGUGGGGUUUAUGUGAUAAACUAUAUGGACAUCCCAGAAUUUAUUCUGAAGAAAUCGUCAACUUUGGUACGACUAUGCCAAACUUGUUUAAUAGUUGAACUCAAAAUUUUUGUAACUUCAUAAUUAUAUGAAAGCUACUAAUUAUAUGAAAGUAAUAUUAUUUUCCUUUCAAAUUGACCAGUACACAUCUGAGGAUGUAUGGGGUAGGCUAGCCAUUCAACUAAUUAAUUCUGCAUUGAAUGAAAAUCGAGAUAAAUUACUGGAACUAAGCAACGCUCAGUUUGCGAAUCAUGCUGCAAUGGUGAACCCUGUAUCCUCUCAAGUGCAAAAGUCAUCUCACCAACAAAGCGGCAACAUUCAUAAGAAGAAGAAAGUUAACACGAGAACGCACCUAGAUAUCGAACCACACUAGGGAAUGAUUAUGCAAGUGAUUGCAUACUAUUUUUUAUUGUAAGUUGUUUGAAACGUGUUGGGAGGUCAUAAUGUGUCUUUUUUUAUCUUUUUGAUUACGAUGGUUGUAAAAUGAAUUUUGAUUGAGAAUUAUCUUUAAAUUUAUGACAUGGUUAUGUAUUCUCGGUCGAGACAUUAUUUAACUAUAAUGAACAUAUGCAUGUUAAUAGUGUUCAUAUCUCAUCAUUUGAUACUGAACUGGUUGUCAUGUUGGUACAUGAUAGUGGAAUUCAAAUAGUUAUACAUAUUGACUCACUAUAAUGGCACUGUUUAAUGAGGUCACCAAUAGAAAACAUUAGAAAAUUGGUUGCUUGCAUGAGCUAACAAUGUUGGAUUGACACCAGCAAAGGCUCCAGGAUUCUGGGUGCUCGAUGAAUCGAAUGCGGUAAAAUUGUUUCCAUCGACACUAAAAUCAAUACCAUGAAAGUUAUUUGCAAUGAAAUGUCCAAUAAUGCAAUAAUUAAGUUAAUUAUUGUAAACAUUAAACACAUGAUAAAGAACUUAGGACAUACCUUAGUUGGGUGCUAUCAUUCCCUUGAAUAUGACAAGUUCGUGCUGUAUGCCCAACCUGACGACAUUUUCCACACUUUCUAGUGCUUUCUUCUAUACAUUUUGCUUUAGACAUAGCGCCUUUGGUCUUUACAACUGCAGGAUUAUGAACUUUUGUUCCCAUCCACACUUUUUUAUUUGGGAGACUGUUGCGUUCAGAUUGUUGUUCAUAAGUUAAUGCUAGCCGAUUGAUUUUCACCAAGGUAUUUUCGUAGGCUUCAACGUUUUUUGCUACAUUGUAGCACAUUUUAUUGUAAGCUGCAGAAAAUGUACUAAAUCCAGCCACCUCUGAAACAUUGGUGUCAACUUCUGGUUUUAUAGUCCUGCAAGUAUUGUGCUCCUUGACUUUUUUUGUCCAUCUAAGAAGAACCAUAUUGUCAGGAAUCUUUUCAAUUUGUUCCACUUUCAAGACAUGAAACAUAUGCCUACAAGGAAGCCCAACAGACUCCAUUAUUUGACAAGAGCACUAUAUGUGGUUUUCUUGUAGAUUGUGGAUGACAUUCCACCAUAUUGCUGGUGUCCCAAAUUUAGUGACUGUGUACAAAGUAGCAUUGAUAGCUUUGACAGUUUUUACUUCAAUGACCGCGCCUUCUCGCUGCAUCUCAUCUCUAACCUUCGAAAAAACCCUUAAUGGGAGCAAUUGUGCAGCAUGUUUCUCCAGGCUAUUUAAGUGCAUUCUUAAGACAAGAGCACUGUAUUUAGUUUUGAACUUAUCGGAUGUUUCUGUGGCACGAAUAUUGCAGAGAGCAUGAUCGAUUUGUCGCAUAAACUCAUACAAUUUUAGUUUAUGUUGGACAAAUCGGCUAAGAUAUGUAUUUAUACUUUCACAUCGUUGAGUGCUUCGCAUAUUAGCAAAGAAUGUUCCUCUAAGAUAAGCUUCCGCCCAGUUGCACCGCUUUGAAUACAUUUUCUGUACCCAUGCAUGAUGUUUAAGUGCGAAUUCAGCCACUACAGCUGACCAUUGGGUUUCAAAUUCAACUACCGUCAUAGGUGUCAACAUCAAAUCAUGAAAUUUUAUCAUAAAGUCUUCGUUCUUCAAAUUAGCUUGUGCAUUGCGCUCGAGAUGUCAACAACAAAGACGAUGGAUGCACCCGGUAAACAUUGUCUUUAUUGCCUUCGACAUUGCCUUGUCACCAUCAGUAAUUACAAACACGGGCUUUCGGUUGCCCAUAGUGGAGAGGAAAGUUUGCAGCAGCCACGUGUAUGAGUCAAUUGUCUCAUCUGCGAGUAAAGCAAAACCAAAAAUCGUUGUUCUGACAAGUGUAACGAGGGGUUUAUGAUAUGCAUUAGUCUUAUAUGUUGCAUCGAAUGCCAACACAUCACCAAAACACUGACAGUCAUAACGAGCUACACAAUCAGCCCAAAACAAAUUUCGUAGUCUAUUUUCAUUAUUUAGUAUGUACUAAAAAAGCAGAGUCUAGGGUCAUGUUCAGAUUUUGCCGCAAAGUAUGUUAUAGUUGUGUCUGAGUCAGAAUCUCCAACCACGGCACGAGUGGAAGCAUCUAGCGUGUUUUGCAUGUCUUUGCGUGUGAACCUUAGGUUUUGAGGCCCUUCUACCUGAUCAGCCAUGUAAUCUAUGAAUUGGAAAGUCUUCACACCAACAUGCCUUAAUGCCUUUGCUUGCGCAAGCUCUGCAUCAGUAACCUUUUCGAUGUGAAGGAAUGAGAUGAACUUCAUUAUCAGAAGCCAAAGGAUGGUUGUGCUCAGGCCUGAAUUCUUUGACGAUGUAUUUACCAACUGAUUCAUCGUAAUUCACUCAAAAUGAGACCCGACACCCGGUUUGUGUUAUAGGUCGUGGUUCUCGCACCCUACUGCAGUUUUGAGAUUGUCUUUCAUCUCUUGGCCCUUUGAAAUGACAAACCCAACAUCCAAUUGUGAUUCUUCCAGACUUUUGUCCGCGCCGCAUAUCAUCUUUCCUAACACCAAAACCAAUCAUUCGGGCAUAAUUGGUAUACCACUGUUCUGCAUCCACUACUCAGUCGAAAUGACUGCCAAAAACGUCUGAUGCAUGUAGACCAACCUUUGGAGCAAUGGAUAUUCCUAGGUUGCUAUUAUUAUGUGGGCUGCUCAUAUUUAACCCAUGUUCAACCAAAAUUUUGUUAAUAACAUAAGUUACAACCUUUAUCUUAAUAAUUUAAUAUAAUAAUAAAUAUGAAACCGUCUAUGAGCUCACAAAUCUACUACUUCUAUUACAGCACAUACCUUUGUUGGAGAGAAACUUGACUCAUGAAAAGUGGAAAACCCCUGUUCCAGAGAUGUUCAACAAGAUUUUAGAACAUAGCAUUUGGAGUGAGUGUGUUUUUUGUGAAGAAGUCUUGGACUUUAGCCUUAGAAUAAUCCCUCAUUAAUAGAGGGAAUGUGAGUUUUGUUUUCAUCAUAUUUAUUGCAAACCUAACCAACCAAACGUGCUAAUUUUAAAUGACUAACGUGAUAACGAAAUAUUUUUGGACAAGAUCCGGUCCACCGGUAAUAAUAACCGGAAAGCCGAAUCCAUUUUCAAAAUUUCUGGGAACUAUCUAGACAAUCGGAUAAUUAAACCGGUAAGCCGGUUUCGAGCAGAAUAUGAUUCGGGACGCAACCAGCUAACUAGUUUCCACUAACCGGUUAGCCGAUUAGCGUCCAGAAUCAAACUACACUCAACCGGCUAACCAGUUAGUGACAAUUAGUUUGCCGAUUUCAAGCUUCCCUCACUGGACGCUAACCGGCUAAUCGGUUAGUGAAAAUCGGUUAACCGGUUGCGUCCAGUGUGGUUUUGAAUGCUAACCGGCUAACCAGUUAGCGGAAACCGGUUAGCCGGUUGCGUCCAGUGUGCUUCUGGACGCUAACCGACUAACUGGUUAGUGACAAACGGUUAGCCGGUUUCGCGAUACACCAACUAUUUCUUCUUCUUCCUUCUUCUUUCGGCAAUCUAGAAACUACUCUCUCUCUAAAAAUCGAUUUUUCCUCUCUCUAUCUCACGCCAAAAUCCUUCAGUUCCACUCGUUUUCGAUUCCAAUCGAUUCGUAAAACUUAUUCCCCAUCCAUUCUUGUGUCCAAAAUUAUCUUUCAAAUCCAGUUUCAACCUCAACAUCACUAGAUCCGAAAUCAAAUCUAGGGUUUGAACUGAAAUUUUCUCUCUCUAGAUUUCUUCCUCUUAAACGUAUUCCCCAUCCAUUCUUACCGGAUUUCAUAAACGGUAUGCCGCUUAUCACAAAAAAUUCGUGUGUUUGUUUUUCUUUUCCUUUAUUGUGUUUUUAUCAAAUUUAUUGCUUUCAAAUUUACUAAGGCUUUAGAUUGGAUAUUUGUUAGGAUAAGUUUUAAAAUACCAAUUCACCCCCCUCUUGGGUUGCACAACUUGUAUUUCAAUAAACAUCAAACAUGAAACCAGGGCGGCCCAACAUGCAACAAAAAACGUUAAACAUGAAACUUACAAUACUUCACACGAAAUAUACAACUUAUCACGUAAAGUUUGCAACGUUGACGUCAAACAUGAAACGGCCGAGAAUAUUUGAGAAUAUUAGUUAUUUUGGCUUUAUCCAAGACAUGCAACAACUAACGUCAAACAUGCAAUCGCGACGUCGGAAAUGCAACAACUGACGUUAAACAUGAAAUUUGCAACACUUCACGCCAAAUAUACAAUUGAUUACGUAAAAUUUUCAACGUUGACGUCAAACAUGAAACAACCGAGAAUAUUCUUUAUUUUGGCUUUAUCCAAAACAUGCAACAACUAACGUCAAACAUGCAAUCGCGACGUCAGAAAUGCAACAACUGACGUUAAACAUAAAACUUGCAACACUUCAUGCCAAAUAUAUAACUGAUCACGUAAAAUUUGCAACGUUGACGUCAAACAUGAAACGGCCGAGAAUAUUCAAAAAUAUUCUUUAUUAUGGCUUUAUCCAAAACAUGCAACAAUUAACGUCAAACAUGCAAUCCCAACGUCGGAUAUGUAACAACAGACGUUAAACAUGAAACUUGCAAUACUUCAUGCCAAAUAUACAACUGAACACGUAAAAUUUGCAACGUUAACUUCAAACAUGAAACAACCGAGAAUAUUCAAGAAUAUUCAAGAAUAUUCUUUAUUUUGGCUUUUUCCAAAACAUGCAACAACUAACGUCAAACAUGCAAUCGUGACGUCGGAAAUGUAACAACUAACGUUAAACAUGAAACUUGCAACACUUCACGCCAAAUAUACAACUUAUAACGUAAAAUUUACAAUGUUGAUAUUAAACAUGAAACGGCCAAGAAUAUUCGAGAAUAUUCUUUAUUUUGGCUUUAUCCAAAACAUGCAACAACUAAUGUCAAACAUGCAAUCCCGACGUCGGACAUGCAACAACUGACGUUAAACAUGAAACUUGCAACACUUCAUGCCAAAUAUAUAACUGAUCACGUAAAAUUUGCAACGUUGACGUCAAACAUGAAACGGCCGAGAAUAUUCAAGAAUAUUCGUUAUUUUGGCUUUAUCCAAAACAUGUAAUAACUAACGUCAAACAUGCAAUUCCGACGUCGGACAUGCAACAACUGACGUUAAACAUGAAACUUACAACACUUCAUGCCAAAUAUAUAACUUAUUCAAGACAUGCAAUAGCUAACGUCAAACAUACAACCGGGACUUCAGACGUGCAACAACUGACAUUAAACAUGAAAUACUGUUUUUUUAAUUUUCAAUUUAUUUAUUUUUUCACAUUUUAUUUAAUUAUAUUAUAUUGUAUUUUAUUAUUCAAUUUCUUUAUCUUUUGCUAUCAAUGAUAUUAUAAAAUACUAUUUUUUGACAUUUUAUUUAAUUUUUCUAUUUAAUUUUUCAUAUUUUUUUUUAAAAAAGGUGCAACCGGUUUGUUAACCGGCUGCACCAAGUCUUUGGCUGCCAAAGGCAGCCGGGCACUCUUUUUGAGAGCCCGGCACGGUGCCGGCUACAAUGCCGAACCUAAAUGCCCUUCUUUCUAAAUGAGUCCCACACUGCACGGAAAGUCAUCAAAGUGUCACAUUUCCCUUUAUCGUUAUGAGUCCAACUCCAAUAUUUAUUAAUUAUUUGAUUUAAUUACUUUUUUUUAAAAUGAACUUCUCAGUAUUUCUAUUAAAAAAAAAUUCAGAAGAAACAAGUUAAAUGUUGUGAAAAAUCUUUCACCUAUAUAAAAAAAUUACAGCAGUUAAAGAGUAAAUUUUGCUGAAGCAUCUACUGUCUAGCUGCAAGUUCAAAGUAUAUGGUAAAAUCCUACUUCAACACCUGUAGAUACUAGAUAUUAUUCCUUAAAACUUAUAAAAAAUAGUUUAGUAUGGGUACUCUACUAUUUGUCACCAACCGAACCACUAGUAAUGAAUUUGACUCGAUAAUUAAUAGAGAUGAACUAAUCUCGUUUGCUAGCCAGAGACCAAAGCAUAAAGCUUCUGCCUCAACAAUAUCGAGGUCAUUGAAUUGGUACCAAAAUCACCCCUGUCGCCAUAACGAAUCCACCAUGAUUAUGUACUAUAGCUACUAUGAUUAUGUACUAGAGCUACGUAGCUAACCUUCCCAAACUCAAUAUCCACAGACGCAUCUAUUAUGCUUAAACCAUCCAUGAACUGCUGCCUGUCAUCUAUUAGAAACCAAAACAGAAUCUUCCAUACCAAACCUCACACUAUCCAUAUGGCCAUGUUUCACAUUAUCCGACACCCUUUCUGCAUAGACCACCACACAUGUAGGUUUGAUAGUUACUCCCUAAAAAUGGGAAAAAUUCAAAUUAUCCAUUUGGGUUCAAAUACGAGGUAAAGAAGAGCGCGUUAAUUUUUUUUUUCUUCUUAAAAAUAAAAUAAAUCGAUAUUUUAACACUUUCAUGGGAUAAAUUAAUAUUUACUCUCAGAAAAAUAAAACAAUUAAACAAACAUAUGUUUUGUGGGAUAAGCGAGCAAAAAUUUUAGUUUAUCAAACCUAAGUUAAUUGAAAAAAAGAAUUACGUUCAUCAUAGUAAUUAUAAAUAAAAUAGAAUAAUUAGUUUUAAAGUAAUAAAAUAGAAUAAUUGUAAAUUGAUUUAAUUUUUAAUUUUUCUUAUUUUUAGUAUUUAACUUUUUUAUUAGAGUUUCAAUUUAAUUGAUCUAUUUAAUAUAUAAGAUAUAUGAAUAAAAUUAUGGUGAGAAAAAAUUAUUGAGUAUAAUAAAAAUAAUCAGAAAAUAAGUGGUAUACAGUGAUUUUAUUAGAGGAAAACUGAAAAUCUCCCCCACUAGUCAACAUAAAGCCAUCCAAAAAGUAUUGUAAAACUUUGGAUUGUUAAUAAAGAUCUUCUAGUUUAUCAUAAAAUAUUCAUGGAUGAAAGAAAUGAUGCCUAUUUGACCCAUGAAUAUCUAAUCUCAAUAAAUUUUAAAAAAAAUUGGGAUACAAAAAAAAGGGUUAUUAUUAUUUUACCAGUUAAUGUUUUUUGAUAUAUUACUUUACUACUAAAAUAUUCUAAAUAUUACUUUUUCUCCCUUAAUAUUUUAGUUUUUUUAUCAUUUUACUACCAAGACCAGUAAAAAUAAUAGAAUUAUAAUAAAAGUCUAUUUUAUCCUAAACUGUAUAAGUACAAUUUAAUCCUCUAACUUUAAAAAAUACAACAAUAAUUAUGUAUAAAGAGAUUGUGCUUUUAUCAAUCAAUUAUUUUAAAUAUCCAAAAUAAUCAAUUGAUAAAAUUGUAAAUAAUGAAUACCAUGACUAUUUUCAACAUUCAUCUUUCGUCUUUUUUUUUUUUUUCAUGUGUGUUACAUUUGACUAUUUUCAACAUUCAUCUUUCGUCUUUUUUUUUUUUUUUCAUGUGUGUUACAUUUUCUUAAUUAAUAUGUAAUAUAAAGCAUAAUAAUUGGAGAUGAAUGCGGUUGGUUAAUUUAUGUUUUUCUUGAAAUUAACUUUCAUAUAUUUUUAACAAUUUCGUUGACAGCUCAUUACAAGGACUCGAACUUGAAUUCAAAGACUUCAAGGUAGCGAAUUAGCAAUAAAAUUAACCUCCAUAUCUCUCAUAAAAUCAAUUUGCGAUGUCCCUCUCAAUCGUGAAGCAAUUGAUCAAGAUUGAUGUAUGUUGUUUGCAUGGAAUGGGUAGGGUAGUUUUUGGAGGUCAUAACUUGAGGUAUAGGUGUCCGUUUUAGAAGUGUAACAUACAAUUUCAAAGCUUGCAACAAGAAGAACCAAACCCAGAACCAUUUGUGCUGUUCUGCCCAAUGGUUGAACUAAAAAUUUCACUUCUUUCCUAGUCAUUUUUUUAGUUUUAAGAUAUUUUUCUGUUUUUCCUGUUACUUUUAGGAUUUUUAUCUUUUUCUCUAGAUUUUGGAUUUAGGUGCUUUUUGUUUUGUUUUUCUUAUUUAAACUAGUAAAAUUUUAUAAUAAAUAAUAUUUUAGAUUUUCCAAAUUUGAUAAAUUUGGGAUAUUUAAGGUUACUAUAUAAAGGAGGUCUAAACCCUAGUUUUGUUAAUUCAAAUUUAUUUAGUAAACUUCAUUAUUCAGAAACAUUUAUUUCAUUUAUCUUUCAACCUAUAACGUUUCCGUUUCAUCAAAGAUGAGCAAGAUUUUAAAUAUGCAGAUAUGUUGAGAAUAGUUUUUGAGUUGAGGAUUCUUUUAGUAUUAUGGCGCCGCUGCUUUUAAUCAGUCUCAUUCGUUGUGAAAUGACAAUUGAUAGGGCUCGGUAAAUAUAACUUUUAAAAUUAAUAUUUGAUGAAAUAAUAUAUCCUUAACAAUCAAUCCAUCAAUCGUGUCAAUUAUUGUGCCAAGGGCAAAUUGUAUGAUAUAAUUGAAGCUAUAGUUCUUGAGAGUUUGAGAUGAGGCUGUAAAUGAAAAAGUAAAAAAGCAAAUGUAAAACUAACCAAAUUAGGUAGAUAACAUAGAGCAUCAUGAAUUAUUAAGAAAUAUUAAUUGAAACACAUAUAAUUGUACAUAAUACAAGAGAGAAGACAAGGAACACUGCGUAAAAUACACGUGAAUCAGCCAGUAAAAAAAUAAAGAAAAAAUAAAUUGAAAAUAUCACAAGCACAAUGCGUAUAUAAUUUAUCUUCCAGUAUAAUGCCAAACGUACUUUAUGAAAGUUCACGACACAUGAAAUCCAACGACGAUGAAACAAUAUGACGCAGCAUGGUAAUUUACGGAUUAGAAGUUGAAUGAGUUGGCUUAGCAAUUUCCGGAAGAUGAGGGAAAAAAGGCAGUUCAGGAAGAUUUGGCAGCUCAGGCUUUGGAAUCUCUGGAAAUUCAGGUAGUUCUGGUAACUCAGGUUCUGGAAACUCUGGUAGCUCAGGUUGUGGAAUUUCUGGCACUUCAAGUUUCUUUGGUAACUUAGGUUCUGGAAUUUCAGGCAAUUCAGGGACUUUUGGGAGCUCAGGUUUUGGAAUCUCGGGUAACUCGGGUUUUGAUAGUGGUGGCAAUUCAACUUUAGGCAAUUCAGGUUUCGACAAUGGUGGUAAUUCAAACUUAGGCAAUUCGG
rnacentral:lncRNA from 1 species